CCGGCCCGAGUGCACCUUUUCUCCCUCCCGCCACCGCGUGAGCGCUCCGCCGACCAGAUAACCGCCGGCCCCCGCUCCACCCCCGCCCGCGCCCACUCCGCCCACUCCCGGGCGCCCAGGGCUGUCCUGCCUGGAAGAGAUGGGGUGCAGAGUGACAGCUAAAGAAACAAGGUGACCUUCCAUUCUCUAGAACUCUCCGCCCACAGGCCAACGCUCUGACGGGCUCCUGGUAAUUAGAACAAAAUCAAUGGGAAAAAAUGCCCUAGGGUGAGGAUUAAAAAAAAAAAGAAAAGAAACAUCUUCAACCAUUUUCCUAAUUCAAACCACUGCAAAACCAUCAGAAAAUAGUGCGUAAAAGGGAUAAGUUCAGAAAUGUGGAAAUCGGCCACCACCAGUAUCUACACAACUUUGAUGUGAACACUCAGGUCCUGCCUGAGAGCACCAGACGGAGCCACGUGCUGCAUCAGAGAGUGGCCCGGAGAUGACCAUGAAGUGACCGUGUUUGUGAAGCUCUAGCUGGGAGGAUUGAGCCCUGGCCUGAAGAUAGGGUACAUGGAAGGAUCUCAGGUCUCCAUCCCCACCUCCUACCCCCUCCUCACCCCCCGACCAAGAAGGGAAAUUUCGAAGGAGGGGUUCAGGGAAGUAAAAAGAGGAGGGUCAUUCUAGAAUGGGAGUCACAUGGGAUGGAGCCUGGGAGCCAAAGUCUUCCUCGAACCCCAGUGCCAACAGUUACUAGCCUUCAGAUUUCAACUGUUCUUGCGUUUGUGUUUCCUGUAACAGUGGUUACUGCAAACUUUACACAUUCGAUUCAAAAUCACACUGUCACCUGCAUCUCAAAGAUGAUGAAAGUCUUCAUCAUCAUCCCUAGUCAAGAUCAAAGACAGCAUUGUAUAGCACCUUUAAAAAAAGAAAAAGAAAAAGAUUUCAGUGUGCUUAAACAGAUGGGCAGGCGAGAUCCAGAGCAAGAACUGAGCUGGAACGAAUCGUAGAGCUGGGCAGCAGAAAGAUCUCUGUCAGGGCUGAAGAGCCAUCACCAUUCAUGACAGUGAAAUAAGAGGGACCAGUCCUCAUCGUUCUGAAACCCGCCAUCUCUCUAGAGCCAAAGCCUGCCUUCCUUCCCUGGGUUACUACUGUGCAAAGAAAGUUACCUGUAAGAAGGCACUGGGAUUUUCAGGGCUUGAAUACCAGUCAACCUUGUAGAUUGCAUCAAAGAGUAAUCUGGUUAACAAAGUAGUACUAAAAAUAUCGUAACAUUUGAGACAGACUCAAGUUAUUCAUGGUUGAUCUGAAAUUCUAAUUUAACUGGAUGUCUUCUAUUUUAUCUGGCAACGCUACCUGCAGGUAAAACCACCAGGAGAUUCACCCUAACUCCUCUGGAGUUUCUUAGAUAAAGAUGCAAUAGGAAGGAGAGAAAUACUUUGAUUGCUUCACAUUCCUUGGUACUGGGAAUGGGAGACAGAGAAGAUGGCCAACGAUGUAUUAGGGAAGCGGGAGACCCAGACCCAGGUGCCCACCGACGCUGGUAGGCGCACUCAUGCCCACCCUGGGUGCGUGGGUCACCAGGUCUUUAACUGGCUCCCUGGCGGACCGCAUAGCUGCUUCAGAGCCUCCGGAGAGAACACCACCUGCCCACACCUUGAUUUGAAACUUCUGACCCCCAGAACUGUUAGAGAAGAAAUCCGUGUUGCUUUAAGCCACUAAAUUGGUGGUAAUUUGUUACAGCAGCAUCGGGAAACGAAAUCCUUAUUGCCUAAAGGGAAAUCUGAACUGCUUUACAAGGCAUUCAAGGGCCUUCUGUUAUCUGCCUAACUGCCCCCUCCCCUCUCCCCCACCCCAGUCUUUACCCACAGAACUUCUCCAGGAUCCUCAACAGGUCACGCCCUCUCUUAUUCCCAUGCCUUUGUAUGUGCUGUUUCUUCCACCUGAACACCCUCUGCUCACGUGUUUGUCUGGCAAAUUCCUCAUCCUUUCUACAGCUCAGCUCAAAUAACACCUCCUCUGUGAAGUCUUUCCUGCUUUUCCCUCGAGGAACUUAGGGCUCCUUUCCUGCUCCUCUGCGGCACUUCAAUUGCACUCCUGUUAAAGCAGGUCCAUGUGAUAAGGGCCCAACUGUUCCUUCCUGGGACAAUAAGCCAUUUGAGGGCAUGGAGCCUCUCUUUAGACCUUGCGUCUCCCUUAGCACUAGCACAGUCCCUGGCACAUCAAAUAAAGGUCCCCAGCCCUGACUGGUUUGGCUCGGUAAAUGGAGCGUCGGCCUGUGUACUGAGGGGCCCCAGGUUCGA